rnacentral:hammerhead_ribozyme from 1 species
AUCCAUCUGACGAGUCCCAAAUAUGACCAAACGUCUGUCCUGGAU